rnacentral:tRNA from 1 species
GGGGGACUGGUGUAACGGCAACAUCGGGGUCUCCAAAACCCUGGCUCGAGGUUCGAUUCCUCGGUCCCCCG